GAAAUGCGAUAAGUAGUGUGAAUUGCAGAAUUCAGUGAAUCAUCGAAUCUUUGAACGCACAUUGCGCCCCUUGGUAUUCCAUGGGGCAUGCCUGUUCGAGCGUCAUUUGUACCCUCAAGCUCUGCUUGGUGUUGGGUGUUUGUCCCCGUCUCCGCGCGUGGACUCGCCCCAAAGUGAUUGGCAGCCGGCGUACUGGUCCCGGAGCGCAGCACAUGUCGCGCAAACGAGUGCCUUGGUACGGCGGCGUCCAUAAGCCCCUCUCUCACGCUCUUGACCUCGGAUCAGGUAAGGAUACCCGCUGAACUUAAGC
rnacentral:misc_RNA from 1 species